UGGGGAAUUUUGGACAAUGGGCGAAAGCCUGAUCCAGCAAUGCCGCGUGUGUGAAGAAGGCCUUCGGGUUGUAAAGCACUUUUGUCCGGAAAGAAAUCCUCUGGGUUAAUACCUCGGGGGGAUGACGGUACCGGAAGAAUAAGCACCGGCUAACUACGUGCCAGCAGCCGCGGUAAUACGUAGGGUGCAAGCGUUAAUCGGAAUUACUGGGCGUAAAGCGUGCGCAGGCGGUUUUGUAAGACGGAUGUGAAAUCCCCGGGCUUAACCUGGGAACUGCAUUCGUGACUGCAAGGCUAGAGUAUGGCAGAGGGGGGUAGAAUUCCACGUGUAGCAGUGAAAUGCGUAGAGAUGUGGAGGAAUACCGAUGGCGAAGGCAGCCCCCUGGGCCAAUACUGACGCUCAUGCACGAAAGCGUGGGGAGCAAACAGGAUUAGAUACCCUGGUAGUCCACGCCCUAAACGAUGUCAACUAGUUGUUGGGGAUUCAUUUCCUUAGUAACGUAGCUAACGCGUGAAGUUGACCGCCU
rnacentral:rRNA from 1 species